UACGGGGGGGGCAAGCGUUGUUCGGAAUUACUGGGCGUAAAGGGCUCGUAGGCGGCCAACUAAGUCCGACGUGAAAUCCCUCGGCUUAACCGGGGAACUGCGUCUGAUACUGGAUGGCUUGAAUCCGGGAGAGGGAUGCGGAAUUCCAGGUGUAGCGGUGAAAUGCGUAGAUAUCUGGAGGAAUACCGGUGGCGAAGGCGGCAUCCUGGACCGGCAUUGACGCUGAGGAGCGAAAGCCAGGGGAGCAAACGGG
rnacentral:rRNA from 1 species